rnacentral:rRNA from 1 species
CCCUACGGGGGGCAGCAGUGAGGAAUAUUGGUCAAUGGGAGAGAUCCUGAACCAGCCAAGCCGCGUGAGGGAAGACGGCCCUAUGGGUUGUAAACCUCUUUUGUCGGAGAACAAAACCCGGGACGAGUCCCGGACUGCGUGUAUCCGAAGAAAAAGCAUCGGCUAACUCCGUGCCAGCAGCCGCGGUAAUACGGAGGAUGCGAGCGUUAUCCGGAUUUAUUGGGUUUAAAGGGUGCGUAGGCGGUCCGUUAAGUCAGCGGUAAAAUUGCGGGGCUCAACCCCCUCGAGCCGUUGAAACUGGCAGG